UGUCAGAGAUCAGCUGUUCUUCUCUGGCUUCAGCUCUAAAGUCCAACCCCUCCCACCUGAGACACCUGGACCUGAGUCAGAACUACCUGAAGUAUCCAGAUGUGAAGCAGCUGUGUGAUCUUGAGGAGAGUCCAGACUGUCGACUGGAGACUCUGAGAUGGAAGUGGUGAUCGUCCUAAAGAUCUGACGGAGGAAUCAGAAGAAGUGGAGAUGACUCUCAGUGCUGCAGUCUGAACUGAUCUGAGAACAGCUCCACCAUCAUCCCUGUGACUCCUCCACCUUCCACCUGCACCAGAGUCUCAGUCUCAGGAGGUUUCAGUUCUGCUUCUUCUUCUGGAUCACCUCCAGUCGAGGCUGGUUUGGGAAGACUUCAACAGUUUUUCUCAGUCGCUUUGGUUCGUUUCUCAGAUCAGAAUUGAAAUUCUCAAAACUACUUGUUCGAUCUUCACAUCAUUGUGUCACUUGUGCAAAUCAAAAAAGCAGUUUCUCAUUUCUUUGAACAAGUUACAAAUGCUUUGGUACAUCCAUGCAAAUGAUUAUGUACAAUUCUCUGCUGUUUCCUACAUUAUCAAUUGCUUAUGUCAUGUUGAUCAAAAUGUAUUAUAAUGGGUCUCUGUUGAAUAGUCUCACCCCCCACAACAUUUAGGCAUUAGUUCAUCCCAUAAGUCUUUACAUGCAAAAUGGUUGAACAAGUUGUCAUAAUAUGUCAAGCAUAUCUCUAUACAUUUCCAUUAGACUUUUAUUUUCUAAAUUUGUCCUGAAUUGGUAAAUUCCUCCCAGGUGAAUCUUGACUUUCUCUAUCAACUGGCAAGUAUAUAUAUAUAUAUAUAUAUAUAUAGCCGGAGCACAACACAAUGUUACAAUGUCUGACAAUGGAAGGACAAGGAAUUGGACGGGGUCAACAGCCAGAGAGAAGAAGAAGAGGAAGAGGAGUGAGGCUGUGUGGAGGAGGAGUUGGGAGGCAAAACAGAGGAAGAGGCAUAAGAGGCCUUUCUGUAUCACAGUGACAUGGUCUGUCAACAAAUUACAGUACAAACAGUAAAAGUGUAAAUGUGAAUCUUGUCCAGUCUCUUGCAAUCAAUACACUAAGGUGUAACUUACAAUUUACAAUAAGUGUCAUUAAAACUUUAGCCAUAGUUUACAUCAGAACAUCCCUCCAGAGUCACACUGUUAUAUUGACAACAAGACUAAGCAAUUUGACUCAUUUUGACCCAUUUUGUCUUGAUGCUUUGAAACAUGUGACCAUCAGUCUGUGCUGAAACCUGCAGGUUAUCAGUUCAUGUUUGUGUUGUAGCUCCAUCUUGUGGAUCGAUGCAGUUUUGCAGCUGCCUUCCUUUAAUCAGACAGACUGCACGUGAAGAGGAAUCCAAUUAGUUUAAGUGUGUUUGUUUUUCAUAUAUGUACAGAACACUGAUAUUACAUCACAGUGGAAGUUCCAAGUUUCUUUAAUAAAUAAUAAUAAUAAAUAAAGUCAUUAUUUUACAUGUC